rnacentral:rRNA from 1 species
AGCAGCCGCGGUAAUUCCAGCUCCAAUAGCGUAUAUUAAAGUUGUUGCAGUUAGAAAGCUCGUAGUUGAAUUUCGGGAUUGGCGCAUCGGUCGUGCCUCACGGGGUAUGAACUGGUGCAGUCAAUUUCUCACCUUCUGGAGAACCGCGAUGUCCUUAAUUGGAUGCCGCGGGGAACCAGGACCUUUACUUUGAAAAAUUAGAGUGUUUAAAGCAGGCAUUUUUGCUUGAAUACAUUAGCAUGGAAUAAUAAAAUAGGACGGCAUGGUUCUAUUUUGUUGGUUUCUAGGACCACCGUAAUGAUUAAUAGGGAUAGUUGGGGGCAUUAGUAUUCAAUUGUCAGAGGUGAAAUUCUUGGAUUUAUUGAAGACUAACUACUGCGAAAGCAUUUGCCAAGGAUGUUUUCAUUAAUCAAGAACGAAAGUUAGGGGAUCGAAGACGAUCAGAUACCGUCGUAGUCUUAACCAUAAACUAUGCCGACUAGGAAUCAGACGAUUGUUAAUUUUUAAUGACUCGUUUGGC